rnacentral:rRNA from 1 species
AUCAAAAACAUGUCUUGUUGAAUAAUUAAUAUUAAUAAGUCUGACCUGCUCAAUGAUAUUUAAUUAAAUAGCCAUAGUAUUUUAACUAUGCAAAGGUAGCAUAAUCAGUUGUCUCUUAAUUAGGGGCUAGUAUGAAUGGUUUGAUGAGGGAUAUACUUUCUUGGCUUAAAUAUUUUUGAACUUAAUUUUUAAGUAAAAAAGCUUAUAUAAAGUUGUGGGACGAGAAGACCCUAUAGAAUUUUAUUCUAUUAUCUAAUUUAAUUUUUUAGUUAAAAUUAAUAUAUUUUUUUGGAUAAUAAAAUUUAGUUGGGGUGAUUGUGGAAUUUAAUUAACUUCCAUUAAGUUUUUUCAAUAAUUAUUGUAUAUUUGAUCCUUUAUUAGGGAUUAAAAGAUUAAAUUACCUUAGGGAUAACAGCGUAAUUUCUUUAGAGAGUCCUUAUUGAUAAAGAAGUUUGCGACCUCGAUGUUGGAUUAAAGUUAAUAGUUGGUGUAGUAGCUAAUAUAAUUAGGUCUGUUCGACCUUUAAAUCUUUACAUGAUCUGAGUUC